AGCUGCUCAGGAGGCUGAGGCUGGAGAAUCGCGUGAACUCGGGAGGCGGAGGUUGCGGUGAGCCGAGAUGGCGCCAUUGCACUCCAGCCUGGGCAACUAAAGCAAAACUCCACCUCAAAAUAUAUAUAUAUAACAAAAUAAAGUCAGGCUGUUAAAGGAAAAACUUGAGCUGAAUUAAAUUUAAGAGAGUUUAAUUGAGCAAAAAACAAUUCACCAAUCAGGCAGCCCCAGAAUCACAGUAGAUUCAGAGAGACUCCAGGGAUGCCUCAUGGUCAGAACAAAUUUAUAGACAAAAAAAGGGAAGCGACAUACAGAAAUCAGAAGUGAGGUACAGAAACAGCCGGAUUGGUUACAGGUUGGCGUUUGCCUUAUUUGAACACAGUUUGAACACUCAGCAGUGUAUGAGUGGUUGAAGGAUGGCCACUGGGAUUGGCCAGGACUCAGCUAUUGUUACAGGCGCAUACUCCUAAGUUAGGUUUUCAAUCUUGUCUACUUACUAAGUUAGGUUGCAGUUUGUCCACAAAGACUCAAAUAAAGACGUACAGAAUCCUUCUCAGGCCAUAUGUAGUUUGGUUUCACAAGGCCUAUUUAGAGAUUACAAAUUUCACCAAGUCCAUUGAACAACUGGGUAUUAAGGGCAUUGUGGGGGUGUGCAGGGGACCAUAAAGAUGAGUAAGACUGUCCCUGACCUCAAGGUUCACCUCUAGAAGGGAAUAUAGACAAAGCAACUCCACUUUACAGUCAUGCUGUUACCGGAAAGGGGUCUCGGUCCCCAAGAGAGGGGUCUCGGUCCCCAAGAGAGGGUUCUCGGAUCUCACGCAAGAAAGAAUUCAGGGAAAGUCCACAGAGUAGAGUGAAAGCAAGUUUAUUAGGAAAGUAAAGGAAUGAACGAAUGGCUACUCUAUAGACAGAGCAGCCCUGAGGGCUGCUGUUUGCCCAUUUUUAUGGCUAUUCCCUGAUGAUAUGCUAAACAAGGAGUGGAUUAUUCAUGCCUCCCAUUUUUAGACCAUAUAGGGUAACUCCCUGACAUUGCCAUGGCAUUUGUAUACUGUCAUGAUGCUGAUGGGAGUGUAGUAGUGAGGAUGACCAGAGAUCACUCUCGUGGCCUUCUUGGUUUUGGUGGGUUUUUGCCGGCUUCUUCACUGCAACCUGUUUUAUCAGCAAGGUCUUUAUGAUCUGUGUUUGUGCUGACCUCCUAUCUCAUCCUGUGACUCAGGAUGCCUUAACAGUCUGGGAAUGAAGCCCAGCAGGUCUUAGCCUCACUUUACUCAGCUCCUAUUCAAGACAGAGUUGUUCUGGUUCACACACCUCUGACAAUAUCACGAUCCGUGUUGCACUUGAGAGAUUAUGAGCACAGUAGAAGAACAAAGACAGGGAAGAUCAAUUCUGACCCAGGGUUGUCUGGGAGAGAAGGGAGUGUGGGUGCUUUAACUGUACAAUAAUUUCCAGACAUUUAACAGUGCUCUCUUGCCUGGAUUCUGGAAGUCAUUCUGAGAAUGCCUGUUUUCAUUAGAUUUUAAUCACCCACAGGUCAUAUAUUCCUUUAACGAAUGCCUGAUGACACCAUGCAGAAUGAAAUGCGCUUUACUGCCUGCUUGGAAUGUGUGCAGGCCUGCCUCAUGGACCCCUAGAAGUUUCCUUCCAAAAGCAGUCCAGAUUGGCAUCGGAAGUGGGAUCCAAAGUAAACCUCCAUUGGCAGAGUGUGAUGGCUC
rnacentral:lncRNA from 10 species